AUGGGGGGGAUGCGGGGGGACCCGAGGAGGCUCCCGAGAGGAUGGGGGAGAUGCAGGGGGGAUGCAGGGGGCGGACCUGAGGAGCCUCCCGAGGGGAUGGGGGGACCCGAAGAGCCUCCCGAGGGGAUUGGGGGGGGAUACGGGGGGGCCAGAGGAGCCGCCCGAGGGGAUGCGGGGGGGAUACGGGGGGCCCGAGGAGCCUCCCGAGGGGAUGCGGGGGGGCUCCCGGGUGACACCCAGGCUGUGACCUGCCUCGGGGGGCGCGAGCCCUGUGCCCGGGGCUGCCCGACCGUGUCCCCGGCUGCGCGUGGUGGCGACGCGGUGGCUGCCCGGGCCCGCGGCGCGGGUGGUCCCGGGGAGAGGGGCUGGCGGGGAGCCCGGGCCGCUGCGGGGGCAGGAGCGCGGCCGCCUCGGGCCGGGCAGGCGCGCGGGGGCGGGGGCGGGGGCGGGGGCGGAGCGCGCGGGCGGGAUCCCCCCGCCUCCCCGUCCCGGUCCCCGGGAAAUCCAGCCUCCGUGGCUUGGCCGCCUCCCGCUCCCGCGCCCGCAGCCGCCCGGCGCUCGCUCGGGGCUCCGCAGCCGGCGCGGCCCCUCCGCCGGGGGCUCCGCAGUGCCGCCCCCCCGCCGCCCGCACCAUGGCCCCCGGCCGGAGCCCCAGCCGGGCCAGGUAAGCGCGGGGGGCCGGGGCCGCGCCCUCGGCAGCGCCCCCCAGCCUCGGCCUGGCUGCGGCCCCGGCGCCGCCCACGCCCCGGGCGCCCGCGGCCUCGGCUCCGGGCCCGGGGAGGGGGGAGGGGGCGGGGGGAGGGGAGAGGGGGGAGGGACGGGGUUGGGGUGGAGGGGAGGGGUGGAGGGAAGGAGGGAGCCCUGGGCCGCCCCCCCCGCCCCCGCCCCUGCAGGCGGCCGCGGCCUGACCCCGAGCAGGGGGGCGGCGGGAGGGCCGCGCGGGGCCGAGGGGGCUGCGGGCCGGCGCGGGGGGCUCGGGGGGCCCGGGCCGCGGGGGGGGCAGCCCGCCGGCCGCGGGGGCAGCGGUGGUGUCGGGGAGACCCGGAGAGAAGUUUCCCCUGCAGGUGCGCGAGUGUGCGUGCGUGUCACGGUGCCCGCGGUGAGUGUGCGAGUGUCCCCGCGUGGGUCUGCGGGCGGCCGUGUGCGCGGCGCGAGCGUGUCCGCGGGUGUGUGCGGUGUGAGCGUGGAGUGUGUCGCUGUGUGUGUCUGUAG
rnacentral:lncRNA from 1 species